rnacentral:rRNA from 1 species
UACGUAGGGGGCUAGCGUUGUCCGGAAUCAUUGGGCGUAAAGAGCGUGUAGGCGGCCCGGUAAGUCCGCUGUGAAAGUCGGGGGCUCAACCCUCGAAUGCCGGUGGAUACUGUCGGGCUAGGGUGCGGAAGAGGCGAGUGGAAUUCCUGGUGUAGCGGUGAAAUGCGCAGAUAUCAGGAGGAACACCGAUUGCGAAGGCAGCUCGCUGGGACGUAACUGACGCUGAGACGCGAAAGCGUGGGGAGCAAACAGG